UACGUAGGGUGCGAGCGUUGUCCGGAAUUACUGGGCGUAAAGAGCUCGUAGGUGGUUUGUCGCGUUGUUCGUGAAAACUCACAGCUUAACUGUGGGCGUGCGGGCGAUACGGGGCAGACUGGAGUACUGCAGGGGAGACUGGAAGUUCCUGGUGUAGCGGUGGAUACGCAGAUAUCAGGAGGAACAUCGGUGGCGAAGGCGGGUCUCUGGGCAGUAACUGACGCUGGAGGAGCGAAAGCGUGGGGAGCGAACAGG
rnacentral:rRNA from 1 species